GACGAACGCUGGCGGCGUGCUUAACACAUGCAAGUCGAACGGAAAGGCCCUGCUUUUGUGGGGUGCUCGAUUGGCGAACGGGUGAGUAACACGUGAGUAACCUGCCCUUGACUUUGGGAUAACUUCAGGAAACUGGGGCUAAUACCGGAGAGGAGCUCCGGCUGCAUGGUGUGGGUUGGAAAGUUUCGGCGGUUGGGGAUGGACUCGCGGCUCAUCGGCUGGUUGGUGGGGUAGUGGCUUACCAAGGCUUUGACGGGUAGCCGGCAUGAGAGGGUGGCCGGCGACCUUGGGCCUGCGGUACGGCCCAGACUCCUACGGGAGGCAGCAGUGGGGAAUCUUACACAAUGGGCGGAAGCCUGAUGCGGAAACGCCGCGUGCGGGAUGACGGCCUUCGGGUUGUAAACCGCUUUCGCCUGUGACGAAGAGUGAGUGACGGUAAUGGGUAAAGAAGCACCGGCUAACUACGUG
rnacentral:rRNA from 1 species